UACGGAGGGGGCUAGCGUUGUUCGGAAUUACUGGGCGUAAAGCGUACGUAGGCGGCUUUUUAAGUCAGAGGUGAAAGCCCGGGGCUCAACUCCGGAAUUGCCUUUGAAACUGGGAGCUUGAACAUGGGAGAGGUAAGUGGAAUUCCGAGUGUAGAGGUGAAAUUCGUAGAUAUUCGGAGGAACACCAGUGGCGAAGGCGGCUUACUGGACCUUGUUGACGCUGAGGUA
rnacentral:rRNA from 1 species